ACGGGGCGAAGCCCCCCCCCAGCCC
rnacentral:tRNA from 1 species